GUGAACCAUCAAAUUUUUGAACGCAAAUUGCACUCUCCUCGGAGAGUAUGCCUGUUUGAGGGUCAGCCUAUAAAAAUCGACAUCGUUGCUGUUUCGCGGUGGCGUUCGUCGGAAAUUGGGUCAUCUUAAAUCCUUUUGAUUUAAGCGACUUAAAAUUUUCUUUUGGUUCCAUGAACGUUUCUAAGAUCUAUUUCUUUACACGUUUAAGUUACCGUUUUUACUUAAACUUAACCAUCAAACGGGAU
rnacentral:misc_RNA from 1 species